AUGAACGCUGGCGGCGUGCCUAAUACAUGCAAGUCGAGCGAACAGACGAGGAGCUUGCUCCUCUGACGUUAGCGGCGGACGGGUGAGUAACACGUGGAUAACCUACCUAUAAGACUGGGAUAACUUCGGGAAACCGGAGCUAAUACCGGAUAAUAUAUUGAACCGCAUGGUUCAAUAGUGAAAGACGGUUUUGCUGUCACUUAUAGAUGGAUCCGCGCCGCAUUAGCUAGUUGGUAAGGUAACGGCUUACCAAGGCAACGAUGCGUAGCCGACCUGAGAGGGUGAUCGGCCACACUGGAACUGAGACACGGUCCAGGCUCCUACGGGAGGCAGCAGUAGGGAAUCUUCCGCAAUGGGCGAAAGCCUGACGGAGCAACGCCGCGUGAGUGAUGAAGGUCUUCGGAUCGUAAAACUCUGUUAUUAGGGAAGAACAAAUGUGUAAGUAACUAUGCACGUCUUGACGGUACCUAAUCAGAAAGCCACGGCUAACUACGUGC
rnacentral:rRNA from 1 species